rnacentral:misc_RNA from 1 species
UUAAGUUCAGCGGGUAUUCCUACCUAAUUCGAGGUCAACGUAUAGGAGACAGGUGUCGUUCUUUCCGGCCGGACAGCCCCCGGGGGCCGAGACGAAGAUGUGACUGCGCUCGGUUCCAAGGGGGCCACCGCCGCUCGCUUUGGGAGGCUGCGCGGGGCGCAGUCCUCCAACGCCAGGCAGGGCCUGAGCGGUGCGAAUGA